AUGGAAGGAAGCACUCCCUCGAACACAAGGAUUGCUGUGGUCACCGGCGGGAGCAAAGGGAUCGGGCUGGAGGCGUGCAAGCAGCUGGCAGGCGGCGGCGCCAUCACGGUUGUUCUGACGGCCAGGGACGAGACGAGGGGGGCGGCGGCGGUCGAGCAGAUCAAGCGGCUGGGGCACGCACAUGUCAUCUUUCAUCAGCUGGACAUCACGGAUGCUUCCAGCAUCGCUCGACUCGCAGAUUUCCUCAAGACCCGUUUCGGGAAGCUUGACAUCCUGGUGAAUAACGCCGCGACUGAUGGGAUUGAGCAUGUCAUUGAUCCAGUUUAUGGUUUAACUCCCGGUGAUGAAGCGUUCAAUGGCAUGGACGCGGGCCAGAGGAUCGAUUGGAUGUGGACCAGCUGCCGGCAGACGUACGAGACCGCGAAACAGGGCCUGCAGACGAACUACUACGGCACGAAGCGGGUGACAGAGGCUCUCCUGCCCCUGCUCCGAUCCUCGUCCGACGGAAGGAUCGUCAACGUCUCCUCCAACUUCGGAUUGCUCAGCUUUUUCAGGAGCGAGGAGCUGAAGCAGGAGCUGAACGGCGUCGACAGACUGGCGGAGGAGAGGCUGGACGAGCUGCUGGCCGAGUUCCUCAGGGACUUCGAGAGCGGCGGGGCGGAGGCGCGCGGGUGGCCGGCCGAGUUCUCGGCGUACAAGGUGGCCAAGGCCGCCAUGAACGCCUACUCGAGGAUCCUGGCCAGGAGGCACCCGGAGCUGCGCGUCAACUGCGCGCACCCCGGCUACGUGAAGACGGACAUCACCAGGAACUCCGGGAUCCUGACGCCGGAGGAGGGCGCGCGCAACAUCACCAGCGUUGCGCUGCUGCCGGAAGGCGGGCCCACCGGCAGGUACUUCUCCGAAGGCGAGGAGGCAUCCUUCGUGUGA
rnacentral:rRNA from 1 species